rnacentral:rRNA from 1 species
GAUGAACGCUGGCGGCGUGCCUAAUACAUGCAAGUCGAGCGAACAGACGAGGAGCUUGCUCCUCUGACGUUAGCGGCGGACGGGUGAGUAACACGUGGAUAACCUACCUAUAAGACUGGGAUAACUUCGGGAAACCGGAGCUAAUACCGGAUAAUAUAUUGAACCGCAUGGUUCAAUAGUGAAAGACGGUUUUGCUGUCACUUAUAGAUGGAUCCGCGCCGCAUUAGCUAGUUGGUAAGGUAACGGCUUACCAAGGCGACGAUGCGUAGCCGACCUGAGAGGGUGAUCGGCCACCCUGGAACUGAGACACGGGCCAGACUCCUACGGGAGGCAGCAGUAGGGAAUCUUCCGCAAUGGGCGAAAGCCUGACGGAGCAACGCCGCGGGAGGGAUGAAGGUUUUCGGAUCGUAAAACUCUUUUAUUAGGGAAAAACAAAUGUGUAAGUAACUAUGCACGUCUUGACGGUACCAAAUCAAAAAGCCACGGCUAACUACGU